GAUGAACGCUGGCGGCGUGCCUAAUACAUGCAAGUAGAACGCUGAAGGAGGAGCUUGCUCUUCUGGAUGAGUUGCGAACGGGUGAGUAACGCGUAGGUAACCUGCCUGGUAGCGGGGGAUAACUAUUGGAAACGAUAGCUAAUACCGCAUGACAACAGUUAUUGCAUGAUAACUGUUUAAAAGGGGCAACUGCUCCACUACCAGAUGGUCCUGCGUUGUAUUAGCUAGUUGGUGAGGUAACGGCUCACCAAGGCGACGAUACAUAGCCGACCGGAGAGGGGGGUCGGCCACCCUGGGACCGGGACACGGCCCAGGAUCCUACGGGAGGCAGCCGUAGGGAAUCUUCGGCAAUGGACGGAAGUCUGACCGAGCAACGCCGCGUGAGUGGAGAAGGUUUUCGGAUCGGAAAGCUCUGUUGUAAGGGAAGAACGAGUGUGAGAGUGGAAAGUUCACACUGUGACGGUAUCUAACCAGAAAGGGACGGCUAACUACGUG
rnacentral:rRNA from 1 species